rnacentral:misc_RNA from 1 species
GGAACAGGGAAGGUCUCAGCUGGAGCGGUCCUCUGAGAGGGCAAGGCUCGCUGGUGCCCUUGUCCAAAUUGGGGGCAGGAAUGAAUCGAAUCAUACAUUAAAAUGGGAAAAACUAAUUAUUAGAGGCAUAUUUUGGUGGAAUGGCUUAGAGAGUUUGAAGAACUCAGGGGUUAAGAAAUCCUAUGAUGGUUAACCUCAUGAGAAGUUCUCAAUUCCACCUAUGGGACAAAACCGU